CCUCAAAUGGCUUUCAUUUAUUUAGUAUACUAUUCUUAGCCAUCAGGUCUAGGAUGAGUUACUAUUUGUCUGUGUUACUGUUUAAAUGUAGUUUGUCUGAAGUUCACAUUUUCAACAUGUUGCUUCAACCCUUGUCCUGUAGAUCACAACCGAAAUGCUCCGAAUGGCGCUCGCAUUUUGAGUGUGGGCCAAGUGAUAGUUUCAAACAUCUUGAACUUUGAAACUUCCUUGCUACAGAGCCCUAAAAACAGGUUUUGUUAUACUGGAAGUUUCUUGACAGAAUAACAAAACAGUAUCCAUAUAUCUGUCACAACACACGGCAGGUCUGCCAGGAAAAAUACACGGGCUAUUCACUUGAAGAAAUAAAAAAAGAAGCACAGAAAUCUCUGAAACAUCUGAUUUCCCCUUCUCCAUGGAAAAAUGCUGUUUAUGACUUUGCUAUGGAAACGUAGGGAUUAUUUACUCUUGAGUCGGUUUACAAUAACCUUCCCUUUCCUGACCAAACAACAAAGGAAAUAUCGGGUCAGGCGUCUCCCUGCUAACUUCAUCUGGCAGAUUCUGUCUCACUUUCAGUGUGUGUAUAUACAAACCCCCGAUAAUGAUGCAUUCGAGGGUCUAUUUUUGAGCUCGAGCUGAUGAAACUCUUGAACCUAUCCGAGCGCUUAUCCUGUUUUGCCCACCUUCUUGAGUUUAGUGGAAACAGUGAAUAUAGAUUUUACUAAAACACUUCUAUUUAAAAGUACACUCAGCAUCCUGGACGUGAGGCGCAUUUGCGUCACGGCGAGUCACUGAGUCAUCUGUGAUUGGGACUUUGGAAUUUUCCGUGGGGAUUUGGGAAGAGAUUGUUAAUCUUGAGUGACAAAAGACCAAUUUCCGCUGCAGUCUUGUGUAUGAAGGGCUGAUUUGAAUAGAUGUGGCAUUGUGACCAAGAGGCAGGCUGGUUGUUUUGUGGGCUUUUGGGGGAUGGGCACGAUGUUCCAGGGGACAGUAUGCGCUGAUAAAUUCUAAUGGCUGGAGAUGCCCCUCUCUGACAUGAGAUGAGUGUGUGUGAUGCCGUGUGGACGUGCUGUCUGACAGACACCCAAAGGGUCCUUUGGCCUCGGGAGCCGAGAUUCAGAGCAAACGGAAAAUUGUUUUGUUUCUUUAGACAGAUCAGUGCCCGAAGAGUUUGGGUACUCGUGAAAGCUGAGUGAAAACAGUGUGAUGUCUUGUAAAUACUGAGCGAUUUGCUGUCUAGAUGUUAUUUAUUACAUUAAAAUAGAUUUUUUUAAUCAUG